AAACUUGAGAGUUUGAUCCUGGCUCAGAACGAACGCUGGCGGCAUGCUUAACACAUGCAAGUCGAACGAGAUCUUCGGAUCUAGUGGCGCACGGGUGCGUAACGCGUGGGGAUCUACCAUAGGGUACGGAAUAACUCAGAGAAAUUUGUGCUAAUACCGUAUAAUGUCGCAAGACCAAAGAUUUAUCGCCCUUUGAUGAACCCGCGUAAGAUUAGCUAGUUGGUGUGGUAAAGGCUCACCAAGGCGACG
rnacentral:rRNA from 1 species